CUAAUAAACUGUAUUGAUAGUGUACAUCAGAGGAAAUUUAAAACUGCCUCAGAUACCGGGCCAGCACCGCUGACGGGAGACCGUUAGUAGAAGCUUGUGUUGGUGGGAUCUGUGGUGGGGGCAUAACGACCCAAUUACUCUGAUAUCACUACUGUGUCUAAAAUCCAAGAAUCAACAAA